UUCUUAAAGAAUUAUAAAAGUUUAAUACAAAAACAAUUAUUUUAAUUUCCUCUAGAACGAAAAUGUGUAACUAUAUCAUAAUAGUUCACAGUCAAUGAUUUUGGAUGGUGUUGUGCAACUAGAUCAUAAUGGUGUAGAGGCCCUCCUUGUUGUUAUUUAUGCUCUCACGGAGUUGUCACAAGAUCUUGAGAUUUGUGCUAGUUUUGAAGAUCGCCAAGGCGGAGUUCGACACAACAAGAAAAAACCAUGCUAUUCUUAACAAAUAGUCUGCUUGUUAUGGAGGAGGUCAAUCUUCGAGUCUCUAUGUAGUGGCACAUCCAUGCGAGCUCACACGUCUAGAGAACCGAGGUGCUUCGGCGGUGGUCUUCGCACGAGCCCUGCAAAACCUCUUUUUGAGGAACUUGUGAGGAACCUCAGAUUGCUGAUUGUGAGGAAUUUCUUAGGAAAAUUUCUUGGGGAGAAACUAGAGAGGUAACACAUGCUAGCGUUGGAAGCAUACAUUUUCCUGUCAUUCAUUACUUUGCAUUAUUUAUAAGAAGAUGUUUAACUAGUAAACAUGACCUCUGUAUUACUUGUGCUCCUGAUUUAAGCAUCCCGAAAUCUGUUGUGCUGAUGAGUC
rnacentral:lncRNA from 1 species